UUGAAAGGGAAACGAUUGAAGUCAGUCAUGCUGGUGGGAAUCAACUUAGGGGAAACUCUAGGUGCACUUCUUCGCUUGGCAGGUUAACGUCGAUCUUGAAUGCCAUAAAAUAAUUGGGGGAAGGUAGCUCCUUCGGGAGUGUUAUAGCCCUUGAUAGAUGUGAUGUUUGGGGUCGAGGAUUGCAACGGAUACCCUUUGGGGCUAGCCGCCUGAUCUCUAAUCGGUGUUGGGUUACGGAUAGCAUGCUGNCCNNNNNNUAAUUACUGGUUAAAAGGUUAGAGCGUGCAUAAAUUCGUUAAGGAUGUUGACGUA
rnacentral:rRNA from 1 species